AAUUAGGAUUAGAUACCCUAUUAUUAGGGAGCUUAACAUUGUAAGUAUAUAAAUAUUAUGAAAGCAAAAAAUUAUGGCGGUAUCUUAAGCUUUUCAGAGGAAUUUGCUCUAUAAUGGAUAAAACACCUUAAUCUUACUUUAAUUGGUGUAAAAACAGUUUGUAUACCACUAUUAAAAUAAUAAUAUACAAUUAUUAUUAAAGUAUAUUAUUUAUGUAUUUAAAUAAAGUUAAGUCAAGGUGCAGCAAAAAUUAAAGUAUGAAGUGAAUUACACUGCUUUUUAGAUAAAAAAAUGAAAAUAAGUUUAGGAUUUGAAAGUAAAAUUAAAAUAGGAAGUUAAUUUGAAUUAAGCUCUAGGAUAUGUACACAUCGCCCGUCGCUCU
rnacentral:rRNA from 1 species